rnacentral:rRNA from 1 species
CCUACGGGAGGCAGCAGUGGGGAAUCUUGCGCAAUGGGCGAAAGCCUGACGCAGCAACGCCGCGUGCGGGAAGAAGGCUUUCGGGCUGUAAACCGCUUUCAGCAGGAACGAAAAUGACGGUACCUGCAGAAGAAGGAGCGGCCAACUAUGUGCCAGCAGCCGCGGUGAUACAUAGGCUUCAAGCGUUGUCCGGAUUUAUUGGGCGUAAAGAGUUCGUAGGCGGUCAAGUAAGUCGGGUGUGAAAAUUCUGGGCUCAACCCAGAGACGCCACCCGAUACUGCUUAACUUGAGUUCGAUAGGGGAGUGGGGAAUUCCUAGUGUAGCGGUGAAAUGCGCAGAUAUUAGGAGGAACACCGGUGGCGAAGGCGCCACUCUGGAUCGAUACUGACGCUGAGGAACGAAAGCAUGGGUAGCAAACAGGAUUAGAUACCCUGGUAGUCCAUGCCGUAAACGGUGGGCACUAGGUGUGGGUUUACUAUUAGCGAAAUCUGCGCCGUCGCUAACGCAUUAAGUGCCCCGCCUGGGGGAGGUACGGUCGCGAGACUAAACUACAAUAGAAGUUAGACGGCGUGAGACGUGCCGAACGGACGACGACGAGGGAGGUAGG